GAUGAACGCUGGCGGCGUGCCUAAUACGUGCAAGUCGAGCGAACAGACGAGAGUGCUUGCACUCUCUGACGUUAGCGGCGGACGGGUGAGUAACACGUGGGUAACCUACCUAUAAGACUGGGAUAACUUCGGGAAACCGGAGCUAAUACCGGAUAAUAUUUAGCUUCGCAUGAAGCAAUAGUGAAAGACGGUUCUGCUGUCACUUAUAGAUGGACCCGCGGUGUAUUAGCUAGUUGGUGAGGUAACGGCUCACCAAGGCAACGAUACAUAGCCGACCUGAGAGGGUGAUCGGCCACACUGGGACUGAGACACGGCCCAGACUCCUACGGGAGGCAGCAGUAGGGAAUCUUCCGCAAUGGACGAAAGUCUGACGGAGCAAUGCCGCGUGAGUGAAGAAGGUUUUCGGAUCGUAAAACUCUGUUGUAAGGGAAGAACAAGUACGUUAGUAACUGAACGUACCUUGACGGUACCUUACCAGAAAGCCACGGCUAACUACGUG
rnacentral:rRNA from 1 species